rnacentral:rRNA from 1 species
AUUGAACGCUGGCGGAAUGCUUUACACGUGCAAGUCGAACGGCAGCACGGACUUCGGUCUGGUGGCGAGUGGCGAACGGGUGAGUAACAUAUCGGAACGUAUCCAAUAAUGGGGGAUAACUAAUCGAAAGGUUGGCUAAUACCGCAUACGCCCUACGGGGGAAAGCAGGGGAUCUUCGGACCUUGCGUUAAUGGAGCGGCUGAUAUCUGAUUAGCUAGUUGGUGAGGUAAAGGCUCACCAAGGGGACGAUCAGUAGCUGGUCUGAGAGGACGACCAGCCACACUGGAACUGAGACACGGUCCAGACUCCUACGGGAGGCAGCAGUGGGGAAUUUUGGACAAUGGGCGCAAGCCUGAUCCAGCCAUUCCGCGUGAGUGAAGAAGGCCUUCGGGUUGUAAAGCUCUUUCGCAAGGGAAGAAAACUUACUUUCUAAUAAAGAGUGAGGUUGACGGUACCUUGAUAAGAAGCACCGGCUAACUACGUGCCAGCCGCCGCGGUAA